rnacentral:sRNA from 1 species
GGAGGGUGCUAUUCACUUUGAAUUUCUUCAUAGUAAUAUAUAGAGAGAUGGAUUAUAGAGACUGUCUCUAAGCCAGAUCUCAACUAAUUAAAAUGUGUGCUAUAGUGGCUUCUCAGCUGUCUAGUAAAAUGAGCAGUACAAUCUAAAAGAGUCUAAAGAAGGUACUGUCCUAGAGAAGAAUUGGCAGUGCUGUGUUGCUGCCAUCACUAUCUUUCCCUUCCUCCCCUUUCCUCAUGGCAAGACGCAUGGAAGAAGAGUGCUGUUAAGGCCUCUCCAUUAAUCAACAG